AAGUCCCCGGGGCCUCUCAUAGGUCCUAUAUUAGACUUGCACUCUAAUCUCUCUGGGG
rnacentral:tRNA from 1 species